UCCGGUUGAUCCUGCCGGCGGUCACUGCUAUCGAGUUUCGACUAAGCCAUGCGAGUCACAGGCCGAAAGGUACUGGCGGACGGCUCAGUAACACGCGGAUAAUCUACCCUCAGGUGGGGUAUACCCUUGGGAAACUGAGGCUAAUCCCCCAUAGGUCCUGUAAACUGGAAUGUUUUAGGACUGAAAGUCACGGCGCCUGAGGAUGAGUCUGCGGCCUAUCAGGUAGUAGGUGGGGUAAAGGCCCACAUAGCCUAUGACGGGUACGGGCCCUGAGAGGGGUAGCCCGGAGAUGGGUUCUGAGACACGAACCCAGGCCCUACGGGGCGCAGCAGGCGCGAAACCUUCGCAAUGCGCGCAAGCGCGACGAGGGGAACUCGAGUGCUAUUAUCCUUUUGGGUGAUAGCUUUUCUCGAUCCUAAAAAGAUCGGGGAAUAAAAGCUGGGUAAGACGGGUGCCAGCCGCCGCGGUAAUACCCGCAGCUCAAGUGGUGGCCACUAUUAUUGAGCCUAAAGCGUCCGUAGCCGGUCUUGUAAAUCUCUGGGUAAAUCCCAUCGCUCAACGGUGGGAAGACUGGAGAGACUGCAAGACUAGGGAUCGGGUGAGGUAAGAGGUACUCCUGGGGUAGGGGUAAAAUCCUGUAAUCCUGGGGGGACGACCGGUGGCGAAGGCGUCUUACUAGAACGACUCCGACGGUGAGGGACGAAGGCUAGGGGAGCAAACCGGACUAGAUACCCGGGUAGUCCUAGCUGUAAACGCUGCCCACUUGGUGUUGCCCUUUCGUAGGGAAGGGGCAGUGCCGGAGCGAAGGUGUUAAGUGGGCCGCUUGGGGAGUAUGGUCGCAAGGCUGAAACUUAAAGGAAUUGGCGGGAGAGCACCGCAACGGGAGGAGCGUGCGGUUUAAUUGGAUUCAACGCCGGG
rnacentral:rRNA from 1 species